GAUGAAGAACGUAGCGAAAUGCGAUAAGUAAUGUGAAUUGCAGAAUUCAGUGAAUCAUCGAAUCUUUGAACGCACAUUGCGCCCGCCAGUAUUCUGGCGGGCAUGCCUGUUCGAGCGUCAUUUCAACCAUCAAGCCCCCGGCUUGUGUUGGGGACCUGCGGCUGCCGCAGGCCCUGAAAACCAGUGGCGGGCUCGCUAGUCACUCCGAGCGUAGUAAUACAUCUCGCUCAGGGCGUGCUGCGGGUUCCGGCCGUUAAACACCCCCUUUUUACCAAGGUUGACCUCGGAUCAGGUAGGAAUACCCGCUGAACUUAAGCAUAUCAAUAAGCGGAGGA
rnacentral:misc_RNA from 1 species